GAGACGUGUCAGGCAUUUUGAUAGAGGCUCACUGUCAUUUGUUAAUACGACUACCCAAUGGAGGGAGGUGAAGCAAACAGUGCCAGUGUUCAGCAGGAAAAAAAGGUCACUAUGUGAGAUGUUUUAGCAACAUCAAUGGUUAACUUGUGAUUUACAGACAUAAGGAAGAGGCUCCAUGUGUUUAUUAAGGAAGCCACCAAACUGUACCCACCUCCAUUGCCCUGGGAAUCUCCACACCAUAUCGGUACUGAGUGGGCGAACCUAACCGAAGCUGAGAAGAGUCCGUUCUUUGCUGAGUCUAAUAAAUUGAGGUUGCAACACAUGAAGAAAUACCCGAACUACAAGUAUCGUCCGAAACGCAAGGCGAGAAACCUGUCAACAUAUCAAAACAGGUCCUGUUCGCAGUUUCCAAUACUGCUGGACUUGAUGGAAGGUUUCCAGCCUUUCCUCACGACUCAGCAGGCUCAACAGGCGUCUGAAAGUGCCACACACUUUCAAGAGGAGCUAACACAGCCUUUGACAUCGCAUAACCAAGUCGCCUCAUCUUCUUUUCUGGAUAAAAAUGAUACAAAACCGCACACAUUUUCUUCUCUCAACCAUUCUGCACACCACAAGUCAAAGUUUGCGGGAAUACAACAACCGUUAUACCACGAACUCCUGCACCAGGAAAGUCUUGCACCACACUGUGAUGCAUUGGUUGGCCCUUCCACAUCAUCCCUGGUACCUCUUCCCACUCAAUAUUUACCCAUAUCUUUCCCUUUCCCUAAUUCAGAACCUACAGCAAGCACUUUUCCUCUGUCAUCUCAAGUCCACUACCCUCCCCCACUUAACCUGGUGAAUAACCACAACACAGGAUACAGGACAGACGUUUUCAGACCUUGGGAAUCAAAUAGUGGUAAGGAUGACCAACAAUAACCUAAGAAUGUGAGCUAGGGGUCAAGAUAGACAUAUUGUAAGGGAAAGGUAAACUAUACACAUUCAAGCUGUAAAUAAGCAUCAUAAUCCAGCAUCCAAGUACUCGAUAUUUUUGCACCAACUUUAUAGUACAUUGAUUUGAUUUUUUUUUUUAUCUCUUCCCCCCCCCACCCUUGAAAACCAGUUGAUAAUGCUUGUAUUGUUUAUUUCACACGGUGUUAACAUGAUGAAUAUUGACAUCCAUUCUUACUUUAAGCUAUGGAAACUUGGAACAGUGUUUUUCUUUUCAUUAUAAAUAAAUAAAUAAAUAAAUAAAUAAAUAUAAUGCUGCUGCGUUAUAUCAAAAUCAUACUUUUAGAAUAAAUUAAUACCAACUUGGUUUGGUGGACAAGACGCAUCAUUCAUUAGCAACCGCAUAUUUAGUGUAUUCGCAUUUCAUAUUUUCAGGUUCUCUUUGGUAUAAAACUUGUUUCUCGCAGACAGAUUACACUAUGUAACAAAAUUUCACUUUUGUCUUGUUCUUGGCCCCAAACCAUAACUUUCCAGUUAUUUUCAUCUAAACAAAACAGAAAAAAAGUUAUUUUGAUCCUAAAACUUUGCUUUUAUAGUUAGAACAAUGAAUUUACAUUUUUUUUUUUUUUUUCCUUAUUUCAUUAUAGUAUGGGUUACUAUUGGUUUUCAUGUCAGGUAAAGACCUUUGCAAAAUCUCAGUUGCUGAUCUAAUUGCUUUCGAAAUGUUGCAAAUAAGUUGAAACAAUGAAAGAAAGAAUACAGUGUUCUAAAGAUUUUUAAUUUUAAUAAGAUCAUUCUUGAACUGACCAGAUCUAGCAAGAAUUUUCUCAUAUUUAGAAGAAUUUGCUUAUAUUUCAGAAAUCUCAAAUCUUCCAGAAUGUUCU